rnacentral:rRNA from 1 species
UGCCUCAGUAACGGCGAGUGAAGCGGCAACAGCUCAAAUUUGAAAUCUGGCCCUUUCAGGGUCCGAGUUGUAAUUUGCAGAGGGUGCUUUGGUGUCGGCCGUGGUCUAAGUUCCUUGGAACAGGACGUCACAGAGGGUGAGAAUCCCGUACGUGGCCGCCGGUCUUCACCGUGUAAAGCCCCUUCGACGAGUCGAGUUGUUUGGGAAUGCAGCUCUAAAUGGGAGAUACAUUUCUUCUAAAGCUAAAUAUUGGCCAGAGACCGAUAGCGCACAAGUAGAGUGAUCGAAAGAUGAAAAGCACUUUGGAAAGAGAGUCAAAAAGCACGUGAAAUUGUUGAAAGGGAAGCGCUUGCAGCCAGACGUGCCCGCAGUUGCUCACCUGGGCUCUCGCCCGGGGCAUUCUUCUGCGGGCAGGCCAGCAUCAGUUCGGGCGGUUGGAUAAAGGCCUCUAUCACGUAUCUUCCUUCGGGAUGACCUUAUAGGGGAGGCGCAACACGACCAGCCUGAACUGAGGACCGCGCAUCAGCUAGGAUGCUGGCGUAAUGGCUGUAAGCGGCCCGUCUUGAAACACGGACCAAGGAGUCUAACAUCUAUGCGAGUGUUUGGGUGUAAAGCCCGGGCGCGCAAUGAAAGUGAACGGAGGUGGGAACCCCUCGGGGUGCACCAUCGACCGAUCCUGAAGUCUUCGGAUGGA